GCUCCCAUCGUCUAGCCUGGUCUAGGACACUGCCUUUUCACGGCGGUAACAGGGGUUCAAAUCCCCUUGGGAGUACCA
rnacentral:tRNA from 2 species